UACGGGGGGCGACAGUGUUGUCGGAAUUACUGGGCGUAAAGGGCUCGUAGGCGGCCAACUAAGUCGGAUGUGAAAUCCCCAGGCUUAACCUGGGAACUGCAUCCGAUACUGGAUGGCUUGAAUCCGGGAGAGGGAUGCAGAAUUCCAGGUGUAGCGGUGAAAUGCGUAGAUAUCUGGAGGAAUACCGGUGGCGAAGGCGGCAUCCUGGACCGGCAUUGACGCUGAUGAGCGAAAGCUAGGGGAGCAAACGGG
rnacentral:rRNA from 1 species